rnacentral:tRNA from 1 species
UCUAUUUUAGCAGAUUAAUUGUGUCAGAUUUAGAAUCUGAAGAUGAUUUAUAUCAAGUAGAA